CAUUUAAAAACUUCGCCUGGCAUGAUACACGCGAUGAAACUGCUCACAUGUUCUGGGCCCUGUCUUUGACAUUUAUUCAUCCUUUAAUUUAUGGAUAGACUAUUAAUCCACUUAUUUAUUCAUUGACUCAUUUAUAGAGUCAUGAGUAUGAGUUAUCAUUUUCUAUUUUUUUGGUUUGAGCAUCUGCUGCUAUAUGCCAGGGGCUGUGUUACUGAGGGUAAAACGAUGACUGUGGUCCAAUCCAUGCCUGCGUGUAGAAGGGGAGAAGAAACACGGAGAGGAAACCACGAUACUGUGGAAGUAGCAGAGUCCCAUGGUAGCCAGGUGGGCGAAGGGGAGUGAGGACCAUCCACCUGCCUUGGAGAAGACGCCAUCUGACCCGCCGGCCGAGUGAGCCCCCAGGUGGCCCUGUGAGCCGGACCAUGGACCCGAUUCACAUCAGCAUGGCCAGCGCGCCCAUGGUGAAGCAUACUGCUGGUGCUGGCCUCAAGGCCAGCAGACCCCGAGUCAUGUCCAAGAGCGGGCACAGCAACGUGAGAAUUGACAAAGUGGAUGGCAUAUAUUUGCUCUACCUCCAAGACUUGUGGACCACCGUCAUCGACAUGAAGUGGAGAUACAAGCUCACCCUGUUUGCUGCCACGUUCGUGAUGACCUGGUUCCUGUUCGGGGUGAUCUACUAUGCCAUCGCCUUUAUCCAUGGGGACCUGGAGCCCAGUGAGCCCCCUUCCAAUCACACCCCAUGCAUCAUGAGAGUGGACUCCCUCACUGGGGCGUUCCUGUUUUCCCUGGAAUCCCAGACGACCAUCGGCUACGGAGUCCGUUCCAUCACCGAGGAAUGCCCUCAUGCCAUCUUCCUCUUGGUGGCCCAGCUGGUCAUCACCACCUUGAUUGAGAUCUUCAUCACGGGCACCUUCCUGGCCAAAAUCGCCAGACCCAAAAAGCGGGCGGAGACCAUCAAGUUCAGCCACUGCGCCGUUAUCACCAAGCAGAAUGGGAAGCUGUGCUUGGUGAUCCAGGUGGCCAACAUGAGGAAGAGCCUCCUGAUCCAGUGCCAGCUCUCGGGGAAGCUCCUCCAGACCCAUGUCACCAAGGAGGGCGAGCAGAUCCUCCUGAACCAGGCCACUGUCAAGUUCCACGUGGACUCCUCUUCUGAGAGCCCCUUCCUCAUCCUGCCCAUGACGUUCUACCAUGUGCUGGAUGAGACAAGCCCCCUGCGGGAUCUCACCCCCCAGAACCUGAAGGAGAAGGAGUUUGAGCUGGUGGUCCUCCUCAACGCCACCGUGGAGUCCACCAGCGCCGUGUGCCAGAGCCGCACAUCUUACAUCCCGGAGGAGAUCUACUGGGGCUUUGAGUUUGUGCCUGUCGUCUCUCUCUCAAAAACUGGCAAGUACGUGGCUGACUUCAGUCAGUUUGAACAGAUCCGGAAGAGCCCGGAUUGUACCUUUUACUGCGCAGAUUCUGAGAAGCAGAAACUUGAAGAGAAAUACAGGCAGGAGGAUCAGAGGGAAAGAGAGCUGAGAACGCUUUUGCUGCAGCAGAGCAAUGUCUGACGGGCAUGGUGUUGCCUCGGCUUAUUUCCGAGCGGCUUUUGCAUCUGAGCUCCCUUCUAACACAGAGAUCACCAGGAACUGAAAAUGUGUGGAUGCACCCUGAAACACUGCACAGGCUUACAGACCUGUUCCUCUGAUCUGAUGGCUUUAAACAACCUUUGCCACAUCUGAAAGGGUUCCUUUCUUCAAUGCUCUGUCUGAAGCGAACUCCCUAAAUUCAAAUUUUCCAAAAGGGGGCUGCAUUUCAAAAAAGCUGGUGGAGGGCUAUGGGAACAAUGUCCUGCCGAGUGGACAGACAUUUCAGGAUGCUGAUACUGAAAGGACGUCAGCUAUAAUAUAAGGUAUUUAUUCAGUCCAAGUAUGAAAGACAUCACGACCAAGAGCUGAAAUGUGGUUCGGUAUCCACUUACAUCGUUGCUUUAAAACACACUCGUUUUUUUCAAGCAGAGAAAACAGUAUUUAUAAUGGAGGCUAUCUGGUCAAACAUAAACUGGGGCAAAGGGACUCUAUUCACAAAGUAUAAUUCUGUUUUUACCUUUUUCAGUGACCGUUGUUGUAUAGAGUGAAAUUGAUCAAAUUAGAAAUGAACUGUUGUAAAAACAUGCAAAUGGAGCUGAUGUGAUUGUUCACAUUAAAUUUUUUGUUGAAAUGUACUAGCCCCUUUUUAUUUAAAAUGAAGUUCACAAGCAGCACCCAUCAGCAUCAACCAGGAGCUUUAUUAGUACAUUAGCCCCCCAUGGGCUUAGAGAGUCAUAGUCUGUAUCUUAACAGGAUCGCCAAGUGAUUCAUGCAAAAAUGAAAUUUUGAAAAGCUUCACUCCCGGCAGAGUUUCUGAAGUAACUUUCUGAAGCCAGGGGACUCUGCUCAUCCCUUAUCCCGUUCUUUAUUAUGGCCCAAUAUUCCUUUCAAGGGUUUCCUUCCUUUCUGUUAAAAUACCUUAUCCACAGAGGAACUGGCAUGGACAUUUCAAGAGCAAAAUAACACUCUUGAUAGUAAUGGUUGUCUCUCUCAAGUCAAGUACAUGCUUGUUGAUUACAAUCAGCACAAAAGAAAAUUUCAGCUUCAUAACAAUCGAAAAUUUGCUCCUACAUUGAAAUCCAGGAGUUUGGCUGGGGCCAUGAAGAACAGGAGGAGCCAAGGCUAAGGAGUUCAAAUGCAGAUGACUCCUUGAAGCAUGAACAAAGCUUGAUACCUGAUAGCAUGUAAAGGGUGCCCUCAGUAUUGAAAUAAGUCUCAUACAACUCAGUGUUACAGAGUAACGUUUGGAUUUUGGCAAGAUUUAGAGCAUUUCUUUGGGGGCGGAGAAUCAAUGCGCUAGGAUUGGCUAAAUGUGCGAAAGGUGAACUCUCAUUUCAUUCAGACAAGGACAGAUUUGAACAUUCAUUCAAGAAGAGUGGAUGUGUGCGUGACCCCAUGUGUAUGCAUACACUGACCUGCACACACAUAGACCUAAACACACAAACACACACACACACAAGGCAUGCUCCUCCUGGCUCUUCCGUCAUGGUUGUGGAAACUAUCCGCAAAGACAUUUGUGAUUAAGAUAGCAAGUCUUUGACAAAUGUGCUCAUGUUUAUUUGGUUCUUUAAGAGUGGGAGUGCUGGGACUCGGAGCAAACAGGACCUGUAAUCUGGAUUCAGGUUUUCUGUGAAACGGUGUCAUAUCAUAUGUUACCAUAAUCUCAAGUCUCCCUCCAUUAAACAGAAAAUGUGCCUGAAACCUCUGACCCGGAAGUGAACAUUUAACACAGGACUCCAUCUGGAGAAAGAAGAAAAGAAAAAAGCAAAGUCAGGAAGACCUGAAGCCUUUGCCCUGGUACCUCAGUAAAGGAGCAGCCUCAUCUUCAGGCAUGGUUCUAUACCUGGUCUCUGGUCAAAGCGUUAGACAUCCGAUGGUGUGACAAUGGCAAAGCCUUCCAGCCUCUUGCUCUUGGCUUUCAUGCAUGCUACAUAUAUUUUUUCUGUUAAAUAUUUGAAAUAGCUGGUUUUGAAUGCGGGCUAUUUUAUCAUAGCCUUCUGGAAGGGAUUUUCUUUUCAAGUGAAAGGUGGCAGCAUUUCAAGUCUUAAUUUCCAAGUUCUGCACUGUGCAUGUGUCAGCAUUUGACUCUGUGUAAGUCCAAGGUGCACUUAAUUUUCUUCCCUUAGAAAGACUUACCCCUGAAGGUCUAAAGCUUAACAUUUCACUUCUAAUUGAUUAACUAUUAAUACAUACACUUUGCCUUUUGUGAAUUUCAGUUUAUCUUUAAUCAGAAUGUCCUGCCAACCCAUCCUUGGGUUUCUGGGCAGCAAAGAGUGGCUUCUGCUCUCAGAGUAAGGUGCCUUGUAAGAAGAGUUUGAGUCUCCAGAGUAAGAAUUUGCAAUGAAAAAGUAUGAUUAGAAUUUAAUUUUAGAAUUAGAUUAAAAAAAAUAAAGCAGUUACUUAACUUCUUGAGGCAUUUGUAUAUUCUUUGGUAGACUUUUUCUUAAUUGCUGUUCUGUUGUUUUGAUUUUUUGAAAGAAAUCUGAAACAAAGUCUUUGUCUUCAGAGUAAGGAAGGCAGUGAGAAAGGUGUAAAAAAAAAAAAAAAGCUAAUAGUUGACUUAGCUAGGCUUCCAUGUAAACAGACUUCUACCAGUGAAAAAGAACUUCAGAGAAAAUAUUGGUCAUUCAGUCUCACAUUACAACAAACCACCAUCAUAUCCUUUGGCUUCCCAGGAGUAGCAAUUUUCCUAACUCUGAAGAAACACUGAUGAAUUAAGUCCAACAUUUUUUUCCAAAAUUUUUCCACUAGACACAUAAUGAGAGAGAAACACGAGGCAAAAAUAAAGCUCCAGGCAUUUCACUUCAUCUUCAUCCUCUGUCAGCUCUCCCGAGUCAGUUUCCUCUCAACUGCCCAUGUGCUUGGUUGACUAAACCUCAUCCUUGCCAACCAUUCUAGCAAGCCAAAUCAACGCGUGGGUUAAAAAUAAUCAAUCCAAAUUAGUAGUAAUAAUUUGUGGACAUUUAGAUGCCUAAAAACUGGGGAUAGAAACUUUUAUCUUUCAAUGAGUACGUUGCUAGUAUGUUAAAAUAGAAGACAGAGAAAAAGCUGUUGAUUGGAGUGGAUAGUUAAUUCCUAAUAAAAUUACAAGAAUUGAUUAUGGAAGUCAAAAGGUGUAAUUGGCACAUGAGCAUAAAUGCCAAAGGUGUCAUGUAUGUGGAUAAAGGCCACAUGACUAGCAAAGGUAGCGCAGUGCAUGUGGGCUCAGUCGUGUCCAGCUCUUUGCGACCCCAAGGACUGUAGCCCACUGCCCUCCUCUGUCCAUGGGAUUCUUGUCUUGCUCCAGACAAGAAUACUGGAGUGGGUUGCAUUUCCUCCUUCAGGAGAUCUUCAUGACUCAGGGAUUGAACCCAUGUCUCCUGCAUUGGUAGGCAGAUUCUUUACCUCUGUGCCACCUAGAAAGCCCCCUAGUAAAGAUAAUUUCAGCCAAAUGCAGGGACUUUUGGUAAAUUCUGGGCAUGCUCUUUGUUUAUCACAGAAAGGCUGGGAACAAUGGGCGCAUCAUUUUGUAUUACUAACCACCACUAGAUGGGUAAAACCAAAGAUAAAGGCAUCUGCCUAAAAGCCCAUUACCACAUUUUUUGUUUAACAGCUCCAACCUUGUUAUGUACUUAGCUAUGAUCUUAUCUUUCCUCAAGGCUAAAUCUUAUCUAUUAUCCAUGCCUUCACAACAACCUAAGAUAUAUAAUUUCACCCCUCAAAAAUAUUCAUGUUAUACAUAGAACCUACUCAAAAUUAGACUCUAAGGGAGCUACUACAAUUGAUUAUGUAGUACACAUUCUCUUAGAAAAAAAAUCAGAAGCUGUUGAUUUCAAGCUAAGAUGUAUGGCCUUUUAGCUUAUUAUUCCUAUGAUUGUUAUAAUUGCUAAUGUCUUUAAUAUUGCUGAAAAAGUAAAGCGUUCCAAGAGCAUGAUUGGAUGGGAGUUCAAAGGAAUGACUUUUUUUUUUGGUCCCUUUACUAUAAGGUAACCAUAUUCUUUCAUCUGCAAUCAAAUCUUAAGACUAAGGAUGUUGUAUGAAAUAAAAUCAUUACAGGAAGUAUGACGGUAUCAGGGACUUUUUACAAAAACAAACUUCCAGAUCACAAGAGGAAGCUGUGUUUGUGUGCUGACAGAAAGUAUUUAACAGCAGUCAGGAGAGGAAGGCAGGAUGACAGCCAACUUGGAUCUAUUUUUGAAGAAUUAUUUCUGUAGAGUGUCAUGGAAUUGUAAGUUACAAAAAGAAUGCUUUGGUAAACAGUCCUCUCCAUUCCAAAAGGACUCACUCCAAAAUACCACUUAAUGAAAUUCACAGGAAUGUUAUGAAGAUGGGAAUCCCAAAUGACAGGCAGACUUUACAAGCGAACAGUCCUACUUUUUGUAAAUCCUGGCAGUGUGCAUUUACCAAAAUCUCCGUCACACCACACUCUCUUGCUAUAUAUAGCACUCCAUCUGAUCUGAUCACUAUACCAUGCGGCAAGAUGCAUGUCCUUGCUUUCUUCUGAUUUUUAACUAGUCUUAAAUUUGUCUUAGCGUAACAGUGACUCCUGCUUCUCAAGAUUGAGCUACUAUUCGGUACAUUUUAGAAAUCUCAAACUAAUGUGUGUGUACUCAGUCACUACUGAAUCCAAUGACCAAUCAGCUUUAAAUAGGUCUUUUUACGUUCUAUGAAUUCAUCCCUCUAUUUAUCAAACCAUUUCUUGUUUUUAUAUGUAACUCUAUCACCCUUCUUUUGUUAUAUAUAUAUGGAAUCACUCUCAUCUGUAAAAUAAUAGAAAAUACAAUAAAGCUAAUUUUUAA